UUCAUUACCGAAUAAUAGAACAGUGAUAAUAUUGUACGUUAGAAGAAAGGUUUCUUUAAAAUGAAAUACCAGGCUUUAGUUUUUGUUGUAUUUUUUGUUAUUUUGAGUUGUUGUGGAGGACAAAUUAAGAUCGGAGCAUACGAUUACUGCGACAAACCUUGCGAGGAAAGUAGUGAUAUUAUUUGCGCAUCCAAUCAGACUUGUUCUUCGAUUUUCGAUAAUGUUUGCGUGAUGAAAAAGAGAAAUUGUGAUUUCGGAGAUAGUUUCAAAUCCAAACCAUUGUCUUCUUGUCUAAUUGGUACAAUGUGCAAUUUAAUUUAAAACAUCAAAAGUGGUUAUUUCUGUUCGUGAAACACUAGAGUUUAAAAGAUUGCUAUCAAAAUUUAGUGUGAUCUAAUCAUCUGUUGUUCAAAGAACAUAUUGUUAUGGAAAAUUUAAAAUAUAUUUAUGUCCAAUAAUAA